rnacentral:sRNA from 1 species
UGUUCGGAACUUGUAUAUAUGCGCUUUAUAUUAU